CCGCCUGUGGCCUAGUGGGCAAGGUUACAGUCUUCAGAACACAAGGUCGAAGGUUCAAACCCAGCUAAGAGCA
rnacentral:tRNA from 1 species